AACGAACGCUGGCGGCAUGCCUAACACAUGCAAGUCGAACGAGACCUUCGGGUCUAGUGGCGCACGGGUGCGUAACGCGGGGGAACCUGCCCUUAGGUUCGGAAUAACUCCCCGAAAGGGGUGCUAAUACCGGAUAAUGUCUUCGGACCAAAGAUUUAUCGCCUUUGGAUGGGCCCGCGUUGGAUUAGCUAGUUGGUAGGGUAAAAGCCUACCCAGGCGACGAUCCAUAGCUGGUCUGAGAGGAUGCUCAGCCACACUGGGACUGAGACACGGCCCAGACUCCUACGGGAGGCAGCAGUGGGGAAUAUUGGACAAUGGGCGAAAGCCUGAUCCAGCAAUGCCGCGUGAGUGAUGAAGGCCUUAGGGUUGUAAAGCUCUUUUACCCGGGAUGAUAAUGACAGUACCGGGAGAAUAAGCUCCGGCUAACUCCGUG
rnacentral:rRNA from 1 species